UUUAUUUCAGUCUCUCUUUCUAUGCAAACAACUAUGCAUUUGCACAAGUAUUUAUAAAUAUUAAGAUUGUGUGUUUCUGUCUUAAAAAUACCUCUGCAUUAUUUAAAAAUGAUUAGUGACUAUUUUUGUCAUGGAUAACAUACUCCUGUUAUGUAUAACUAUGUAAAACUUGCAAUUAUUCUGUUUUUAAAUGUCAUGUGAGCAGUUGACAACUUUGUCUUUAAUAUCAGUUUGUAACAAAUCUGUGCAAACUUUAGAGAUAAAAUACAGCAUACAUAACAUACUCAGCAAUUUUUACGUAGAGAAGAAAACACUUAUAUUUAUCAUGCACACUUCUUUAUAUAGAAGUAAUUUAUGGAGAUAUUACAUAUACAUUUUAUACUUGUGUGUUUCUACUAAGAGCAAUGAGGAAGGGGGAAGCUACCACGUGGAGAAGGAGGGUCUUAGAAGAAGCUUGGACCUCCUGGAGGAAAGCGGUGUAAAGUUGGACGGUGUUGUUACGUCUGGCACAUGGCGAAAGGUAAUGCUUGCGUCUUUGACAGAAAAUAAAAUUAAAAUAUUCAUGGUAUUAGGAUCCAUAUUUCUGAAAAAGCUUACUGCAUCAAAUAAAAAAUAAAAAAUCUGAUAUGUUUUGCCUGUAACUUUUACUCAAUCAGGAUUGACAAAGAAGAUGUAGAAUAUGUCCAGAGAGAAGGACUGUAGUUUGGUGAAGAAGUGGCAUAAGAGCAUCCCCCAGCACCUGUACUGGUCUGCCAGCAGCUCUGAUUCAGGACCUGAGAAGGGAACCAGAUGGACCUCCAUCAUGAACCACAUUCAAGACAAUCACACACAUUCUGACCCAGCGUCCCCUCGGUGUCAACAUGAACAUAGGUUGUAUCUUGUAAAGAUGACUUCAGUGAGAAUGCUGUGUACAAGCUUCUCUUUCCAGAGGGAGGACACACCGUCAAACCAGCUGUGUCAUCAACUUGAUGAAUACUGUUUUUGAAGAAGUUGUCCGUGAUCCUCUUCCAUAUCUGGAUGGCAUACAGCAGAUUCCUGUGCCUCCGGACCGGUCUUCUCAGCAUGACAGACCUUCCAUGGAAGAAGCUGUUGCUCUGCAUGUGUCACGUUUCAGUCAAGACGGGGUCUGAAUCCAACAUAUUGUCCAGCAGCAUCAGGAAACAUCAGGAUGCAACAGAGCCCAAUUAUUUACACAAAAUGUAGCAAGUGUGUGAAACUGGCCUUACCUUUCCAUCCCUCUGACUGUAACGCCCAUGGUCAGCUCUAUAUACAUUCAUUGCUACAUUCAUUCAUUGCAUUUUACAAAGAAUACAGUAUAUAUUGAGUCACACAGGUUCAAGGCCAGGAUGGUCUGUCAUGCAGGAUUUUGUAUUAGGCACUUUUCUCAUUUUUCUUGUGAC